rnacentral:tRNA from 1 species
UCAUUAGAAAACUUUUAAGUCUAGGUCUUUUAAACCUAAAAUAAGUAGAUUUCUACUUCUAGUG